UGGGAACGUACCCUUUGGUUCGGAACAACCCAGGGAAACUUGGGCUAAUACCGGAUAAGUCCGUAAGGAGAAAGAUUUAUCGCCAAAGGAUCGGCCCGCGUCUGAUUAGCUAGUUGGUAGGGUAAUGGCCUACCAAGGCUACGAUCAGUAGCUGGUCUGAGAGGGUGAUCAGCCACAUUGGGACUGAGACACGGCCCAAACUCCUACGGGAGGCAG
rnacentral:rRNA from 1 species